UGAAUCGGGCGUAGCAUUCGGCUAGUGUGUCCACCCUAUCGGCCGAAUAAAAUUCGGCGCCGAUUGAUUCGGCUAAUGUGUCCACUGCUUUAGGCUUUAGAUUUUAGUAGAAAAUCUUAAAACUCUUGUUUGAAAAUGCAGUAGGAAUGUAUUACAGUAGAGCAGUAGCCUACACGAGGCCUUGUUGCGGCCGGUAUGCCUCCCAGAAAAAUUAGUAUAAAAUACCAGCCUAACAUGUCAGAUAAAAAACCCAACAUCAUCUACAGGAGAUAAAGAAUGUAUGUGUGAUGUCUGUGGUAAAUUGUGGGUUAGUCCUUCAAAACUAGAAACACAUAUGAGAAUCCAUACUGGAGACUAUCAUUAUUACAAAAAUUGUAGUACGGACAAGAACCCAUACUCGAGAUAGACCAUAUAAAUGUGAUGUUUGUAAAUUGUAGUAAAUUAUAUUCAGAAAAAGGUCA